AAGGCAUCAAGGCACAUCCGGAUCCAAAGUUAGCUUCACUUCCUGUCUCCUGAGAUACCUUCAUUUGAUCGAUUUUUGAAGGCAGCAUAGAUAGCUCCUUCGCUGCCUUUAAUAUCCCAUAAUCCUGUGCUUUCCAUUUUGUGACAGCUGGGCUAAAAAAAAAAGAUGGCAUCUGAAAGUUGCGGUUGGUGGUCAGUUUGUAUGUUUUUGACCAACGUUUUCAAUUUUGAUGUCAUUUCUAUCAAGAAAUUACUAUUGUAGUAAUUAAAUAUUUGCUUAGUUAUCACCAUAGACUGUGGUUAUCACCAAAGCUCCCGCUAUUUUGCUGUAGUAGAUCAUUAAACCGUUACGCUGCCUCAGAAGUCUGUCCUAUAUCGUUUCGUGAGGUGCCUUCGUGUGCAUUGUCAUUGCCUGACAGGGCAGCGAGGAAACAAGUCAGCUGUCUAAAGGCCCGGGUAUACUUCACUUUUCCGUCGCAGCCCUCGAUUCAUUCAACCGAUUUAUUUAAAAAGAUGAUUCAUAAGUCAUUGAAUGAAUAAUUUAAAUGUUUUGUUCAAAAACACUGAAUCAUUCAGGAACAAAACACCACUACUGUGUGCUGCACCGGUUCUGCUGUGGAUUUUUGUUGUCGGAGCAAAAACAUAAACUGGCAAUACUGUGUCUAAAACACUGUGCGGAUCUUCAACACUCCCACCUCCAGCCUCUGAGAUGUAGGCAAGUAUUUCAGAGAGAGCAGCGCCUCACCAACCAUGUCCUACACAGAAAAUAUCCUGUCUUAACUCCAGGGGAUAUGAUAUCUUCAGACUGUUCAGGGGAACACGAGCCUCUCCCAGAAUUCCAUGUCUUGACCAGAGCACAAGAGAACUGAUCUCCAAACACAGGACUGCAGCUCUUCUUCACUAGACGUGUCUGCCACUCGUGCAGCACACUGUGCAGUGAACACUGCUCCUCAUCUUCUCUCUCUGCCCACAGCAACCGCACCCAAACAAAAGGGUCC